UACGUAGGUGGCAAGCGUUGUCCGGAUUUACUGGGCGUAAAGAGCGCGCAGGCGGUCGUGCAAGUCGCGUGUGAAAGCCCCCGGCUCAACUGGGGAGGGUCACGCGAUACUGCUCGACUCGAAGGCAGGAGAGGGAAGUGGAAUUCCCGGUGUAGUGGUGGAAUGCGUAGAGAUCGGGAGGAAUACCAGUGGCGAAAGCGGCACCCUGGCGUCGUACUGACGCACAUGUGCGAAAGCGUGGGGAGCGAACAGG
rnacentral:rRNA from 1 species